GGGGAAUCUUGCACAAUGGGGGAAACCCUGAUGCAGCGACGCCGCGUGAACGAUGAAGCCCUUCGGGGUGUAAAGUUCUUUCGACAGGAACGAUAAUGACGGUACCUGGAGAAGAAGCUGCGGCUAACUACGUGCCAGCAGCCGCGGUAAUACGUAGGCAGCAAGCGUUGUUCGGAGUUACUGGGCGUAAAGAGUGCGUAGGCGGUUUUCUAAGUUCGGUGUGAAAUCUCCCGGCUUAACUGGGAGGGUGCGCCGAAGACUGGGAAGCUGGAGUGUGGGAAAGGCAGGCGGAAUUCCUGGUGUAGCGGUGAAAUGCGUAGAUAUCAGGAGGAACACCGGCGGUGUAGACGGCUUGCUAGACCAUAACUGACGCUGAGGCACGAAAGCGUGGGUAGCAAACA
rnacentral:rRNA from 1 species